rnacentral:rRNA from 1 species
UGGGGAAUAUUGCACAAUGGGCGAAAGCCUGAUGCAGCAACGCCGCGUGAGGGACGACGGCCUUCGGGUUGUAAACCUCUUUUAGUAGGGAAGAAGCGAAAGUGACGGUACCUGCAGAAAAAGCACCGGCUAACUACGUGCCAGCAGCCGCGGUAAUACGUAGGGUGCGAGCGUUGUCCGGAAUUAUUGGGCGUAAAGAGCUCGUAGGCGGUCUGUCGCGUCUGCUGUGAAAUCCCGAGGCUCAACCUCGGGCCUGCAGUGGGUACGGGCAGACUAGAGUGCGGUAGGGGAGAUUGGAAUUCCUGGUGUAGCGGUGGAAUGCGCAGAUAUCAGGAGGAACACCGAUGGCGAAGGCAGAUCUCUGGGCCGUAACUGACGCUGAGGAGCGAAAGCGUGGGGAGCGAACA